CCGAUCUCUUCUGAUCUCAGAAGCUAAGCAGGGUCAGGCCUGGUUAGCACUUGGAGGGGAG
rnacentral:rRNA from 1 species